AGAGUUUGAUCCUGGCUCAGGAUGAACGCUAGCUACAGGCUUAACACAUGGCAAGUCGAGGGAAACGACAUCGAAAGCUUGCUUUUGAUGGGCGUCGACCGGCGGCACGGGUGAGUAACGCGUAUCCAACCUGCCCACCACUUGGGGAUAACCUUGCGAAAGUAAGACUAAUACCCAAUGAUAUCUCUAGAAGACAUCUGAAAGAGAUUAAAGAUUUAUCGGUGAUGGAUGGGGAGUGCGUCUGAUUAGCUUGUUGGCGGGGUAACGGCCCACCAAGGCGACGAUCAGUAGGGGUUCUGAGAGGAAGGUCCCCCACAUUGGAACUGAGACACGGUCCAAACUCCUACGGGAGGCAGCA
rnacentral:rRNA from 1 species